GUGUAUUAGAUGCAGUUUAUAUAGUGAAUGCAGAGUGUGUGUUUGUAUAGAGAAUGUAGUGUGCGUAGUGAAUGCAGAGUGUGUGUUUGUGUGUAUGCAGUGUGUGUGUACAAUGACUUCAGAGUGUGUGUUUGUGUAAGGAUAUAGUGUCUGUGUAUGGUGACUGCAGAGUGUGUGUUUGUGUAAGGAUGUAGUUUAUGUAUAGUGAUUGCAGAGUGUGUGUUUUUGUAAGGAUGUAGUGUGUGUGUGUGUGUGUGUAAGGAUGCAGUCUAUGUAAAUGUUUUGUAAUAUGUUGUUGGGAUGCAUACUAUGGGGGGGAGCAUAGCUUUAUUCCCCCCUCCCUGCUUCUUGCCUGUGGCCAGGGAGGGGGGAAGAUUACAUUCGCUGGUGGUCCGGUGGCAUGGUGUGGGCUGCUUCUCUGUCUCUGUCGUGUACAAUUUAUGCUCCACUCCCAACACCUAGAUAAAGAGGGCAGAUAAAUAGGCACCCUCAACAACAUUCUCUAUACCACUGCCAACAUAUAUGCCCCGAACAGAGAAAUUUCUUGCACAAGAUCCUACAUGUAUUAUCCCCGAUCCAACUAAUAUGUGGAGACUUUAAUCUUAUCAUGGACCCGGCCCUAGACACUACCUUAG